rnacentral:rRNA from 1 species
GCAAGUCGACUGGAAUUCUUCUUCGGAAGAUAGUACGGUGGCGGACGGGUGAGUAACGCGUAGGAAUCUACCUAUCUGUGGGGGAUACCGUUUGGAAACGAACGUUAAUACCGCAUAAUAUCUUCGGAUUAAAAGUGGCACUUGUGCUGCUGCGGAUAGAUGAGCCUGCGUUAGAUUAGCUUGUUGGUCGGGUAAAGGCCUACCAAGGCUGCGAUCUAUAGCUGAUUUGAGAGGAUGAUC